CCUAAUAGACUACCCUGGUAGUCCUAGCCGUAAACGAUACUCGCUAGGUGUCGGCCACGGUGCGACCGUUGUCGGUGCCGUAGGGAAGCCGUGAAGCGAGCCACCUGGGAAGUACGGCCGCAAGGCUGAAACUUAAAGGAAUUGGCGGGGGAGCACCACAACGGGUGGAGCUUGCGGUUUAAUUGGAUUCAACGCCGGAAAUCUUACCGGGACCGACAGCAAUAUGAAGGCCAGGCUGAAGACUUUGCCGGAUUAGCUGAGAGGUGGUGCAUGGCCGUCGUCAGUUCGUACUGUGAAGCAUCCUGUUAAGUCAGGCAACGAGCGAGACCCACGCCCACAGUUGCCAGCGUACUCUCCGGAGUGACGGGUACACUGUGGGGACCGCCGCUGCUAAAGCGGAGGAAGGAAUGGGCAACGGUAGGUCAGGUAUGCCCCGAAUACUCCCGGGCUACACGCGAGCUGCAAUGGUUGGUACAAGUGGUAUCUACCCGGAAAGGGGAUGGAAAUCUACCUAAAGCCAAUCUUAGUUCGGAUUGAGGCUAGCAACUCG
rnacentral:rRNA from 1 species